rnacentral:rRNA from 1 species
GAUGAACGCUGGCGGCGUGCCUAAUACAUGCAAGUCGAGCGAACAGACGAGGAGCUUGCUCCUCUGACGUUAGCGGCGGACGGGUGAGUAACACGUGGAUAACCUACCUAUAAGACUGGGAUAACUUCGGGAAACCGGAGCUAAUACCGGACAAUAUAUUGAACCGCAUGGUUCAAUAGUGAAAGACGGUUUUGCUGUCACUUAUAGAUGGAUCCGCGCCGCAUUAGCUAGUUGGUAAGGUAACGGCUUACCAAGGCAACGAUGCGUAGCCGACCUGAGAGGGUGAUCGGCCACACUGGAACUGAGACACGGUCCAGACUCCUACGGGAGGCAGCAGUAGGGAAUCUUCCGCAAAGGGCGAAAGCCUGACGGAGCAACGCCGCGUGAGUGAUGAAGGUCUUCGGAUCGUAAAACUCUGUUAUUAGGGAAGAACAAAUGUGUAAGUAACUAUGCACGUCUUGACGGUACCUAAUCAGAAAGCCACGGCUAACUACGUG